AUAUUAUCAUCGAUGAAGUUUAAACACGUCUUAUUCAUUUUACACUCAAUAUUAUAUCAACUAUUUUAAACCCGUCAAUUUAUUCUGUUGAAUUUUUGAUACAGAAUUCAUUAUCAAAAAUGAUUGGAUUAAAAAAAAUUCUGAUUUGUAUCUUAUUUUAUGGUGUGAAUUUCCUUGAAGCACAAUCCAAAAUACGAUACAACAAUGAACUUAACAUGGGUACCAAGUUUAUGCAAAUAAAUAGAAAUGGUUUACCACCCUCAGCAUCAGUAUGAAACAGAAUGAAAUAUAAAAAAUAUAACAUUUAUUUAAUAUUGUUCGAGUAAGACAAAAUAAAUAUGUUUACCGCUGAAGAAACACACUUAUCAAUGGUUAUUUUAUAAUAACUUAGCACUCUAUGACGGAUAAUAUUAAAGAAAAACAAAUGAUCUUGAACGAUAAACCUAAACAAAUACAAGUUAAAUACAGAGAAUAUUAAUAUUUUAUAGUUAUAACGUUUUGUUUAAAUUAAUAAAAUAUAACUGCAACUCUA